CCUACGGGAGGCAGCAGUGAGGAAUAUUGGUCAAUGGCCGGAAGUCUGAACCAGCCAUGCCGCGUGAAGGUCAGUGCCCUAUGGGCGUUAAACUUCUUUUGUGCGGGAGCAAUAAUGGUCACGUGUGGCCAGACUAGAGUACCGUUCGAUUCAGCAUCGGCUCACUCCGUGCCAGCAGCCGCGGUAAUACGGGGGAUGCAAGCGUUAUCCGGAUUUAUUGGGUUUAAAGGGUGCGUAGGCUGUGAGGUAAGUCAGCGGUGAAAUGCCCCCGCUCAACGGGGGGAAGUGCCAUUGAUACUGCCGGGCUGGAAUGCGGAUGCGGUGGGAGGAAUGUGUGGUGUAGCGGUGAAAUGCAUAGAUAUCACACAGAACACCGAUUGCGAAGGCAUAUCGCGAAGCCGCGAUUGACGCUGAUGCACGAAAGCGUGGGGAUCAAACAGGAUUAGAUACCCGAGUAGUC
rnacentral:rRNA from 1 species